rnacentral:lncRNA from 1 species
UGGGUUUAAUAUUCUUGUUAUGCUUUGCAGUACUUAGUUAUAUUUUACUUGCCAGAAUCUCUCAAAUUUCUAUGGUUACAGCCACUACUUGAGUCUGAGGCAUUCUCCUCACUAACAGAUUCAAAGUCGCUGGAUAUAACUCAAAUACAUUUAAUGUUUUUUUCGUUUCUUAUCUAUCAAGACAUUGAUUGUCUAUACAUAUAAUGGAUCAUAUUUUUAAGGAAAAGGAAUCAUUUUGAAGAAAUUUUUUUGUUGUUGAUUUCUUGACAUAUAAUUGUUUGUCUUCUUAUUUUGUUUUGGUUAGGUAUAAUUUGGAGGGGACCCCAUGUUUUCAUGCCCGGGCUCUGUUUAUUACUUAACUUUUAAUGAACCCAUAUUACAAACAAUUUUUGUGAAGAAAGGAAAAUCAAUGCGGCAGUGAAAUAAAAGAUUGUUAGGGGAAAGACUAGUGGGUGAUUUAUGGUUUUUUCGUAGUCAUAGGCUCCAGUUUCUCAUAAAAUGGCUUAUUGGCGAGAUAGUAUUUGAGUGGUAAAUUAGGGAACUAACAAUGAUUUUGAUAUAAUGCAUUGUUAGGUUUUUUGGCUUCAUUCCACCCGGUUAUACCCCUUCAAGUUAUUGGUUGCCGGUUUCAUAUUAUAAAGUAAACGACAUGGUAGUUUUGUGUCGCAUAGUAACAAUCACAUAAUUUAUGGAGCGUGUGGGACACCUGUAUUCAAAGCAUAUAUGUACAUUGUAGGGUGAGUACACGUUACAUGGAAAGUUCUAUUCCAUAUACUAUAUACAAUGUUAUUUGCUACGAUUUGCAUAGUACAUCCAUGACUAAAUUACAUAAAAUAAAAAUCUAAUGGGGAUUGGUACGAGAACACUUGACAAUUAAAUAUAAACCCUCAUCCAUUGCAACCCAAAUCUUUCAGAAAUUAAACUCACCUUCCAGAAUACCCUUCUAUUUUGGAUAAUUAAAUGAUGAUAAUGUUAACUUACUCAUAAUAUAUGUGCGGGUGAGUAAAUGUUGAAAACAUAUAUUACAUGGGAAGUUCUAUUCCAUAUACUACAUACUAUGUUAUUUGCUACAAUUUGCAUAGUACAUCCAUGAUUGAUUUACAUAAAAUAGAAAUCUAAUGAGGAAUUGGUACGAGAACACUUGACACUAAACAGUAAACCCAAGUUAGAGAAAUAUAAACCCUCAUCCAUUGCAAUCCAAAUUUUUCAGAAAUUAAACCCACCUUCCACAAUACCCUUUUAUUUUGGAUAAUUACAUGAUGUCACUGUUAACUUACUCAUAAUAUAUGUGUGUUAUAGGGUGAGUAAACAUUUAAAAUGUAUAUUAGAUGAUAAGUGCUAUUCCAUAUAAUUCAUACUAUGUUAUUUGCUACUAAAUGUUUUAAAUCCAGAAUUGAUUUACAUAAAAUAGAAAUCUAAUGGCGGAUUGGUAAGAGAGCACUUGACACUAAAAACUAAACCCAAGUUAGGAAAAUAUAAACCCUCAUCCAUUGCAACCCAAAUCUUUCAGAAAUUAAAUCCACCUUCCGCAAUACCCUUCUACUUUGGAUAAAUUAAAUGAUGCCAAUGUUAACUUACACAUAUUAUAUGUGCAUUAUAGGGUGAGUAAACAGUUAAAACAUAUAUUACAUGAUAAGUGCUAUUUCAUAUAAUACAUACUAUGUUAUUUGCUACUAUGCCCCUUUUGGUACUAAAUGUUUUAAAUCCAUAAUUGAUUUACAACAGAGAUUGAAAUAGUUGUUAAUCCUUUUCUUGCCAGUGGGUUCAAAGCUUGUCUCAAACAAUCUACUUGGAAGGCCUAACUCGUCCAUGCCAAACCUGAAAAAUAAAAGUAAGAACGGCAAACAGUGAGGACGGUGGAAGCUUUAAUAUAGAAUAUAGAAAAGAAUUAUCACUCAAAACAGAUUAAGUAUAGAUACGAAUGGAAAAUCACAAGAUAUAAAACUACAAUUCCAUGUAAAGUAGAAUAAUUUGAAUUUAUAAUUUUAUUCUAUUCCACACAAUAAUCAAUAUUUGUACACUAUGUACUAUGUACCGCUGAUACAAAAAAAAACCCAAUUCAAGCUUAAGAAAGAAUAAGCACAACCGAGUAUAAAUUGUAGAGCUCAAUAUACCUAAUAGAUCUGACAUUCACCGUCAAGAAGGCUGUAGAUUUAACAGUUAUAGGGGUAAACAAGUGUAAGGCAGUGCUAUUUCACACGAGAAAUUAAAUGCUUAGGCUGUGUAAUUCAAAAAACUGACAGAUUAAACAGAACGAGCAAAACAUAAACAUAAAUCAAAAUGACCAACUCAAUAAAUACAUUGCAAACAAGGGAAGGUCAGCCAAGCAAAGCAGAAUAUCAAGUGAUACUAUCCCAAGUGGAAUAGUCGAGUUUGUGAAGUUGGAGAGGAAAGGUAUGUUACCAACCGCCGGUGAAACACUAACACGUAAGCCAAUUGACAAGGGAAUACGAAGGAGAUGGAAAAGCUUUUGAUUGCAUGCGGAUGCAAUGCUUUGGAUCAAAUCGGUGCCGGAGACCUUUCGACUUGAGAAAAUUAUCAAAGGAAGUGAAAAAAGGAAAAUGUGAAGUAGGGUAAGACACAUUUUACUUUUGUGCGGUUAAUAAUUAAUAAUUUUAAUUUAUUUUUUUGCAGGUUGCGCUGGUUAUACGAAAGGGUAUUACAGUAUUAAUAUGUAUAUUUAACGGCGUGUAUAUGAAUGUUAGGGGAAAUGACUAGUGGGUGAAUUACAGGGUUUUUCGUGGUCAUAGACCCCAAUUUUCCAUGAAGAAUAUUUAGGCUUCGUUCCAUAUAACAAAAGAUCAUAUUUAAGUGAAUAUCCUUUCACUGUUUUUGGCGAUGUUGACAAUUUGAUAAUUCUUUUCUACCUUUCACCCACGUUCCCUUCUCUCUUUCCUAUCUACUUAAAAUCUCCAGAAACAUUUUCACUUCUAUUUCUACUGACUUCAUCUGCACAUUUUUCAACCAUAAACAAGUUUAAUCCAUUGUUGCCCCUUGUUCACUCUCCUCGUUAUUGUCAUUGUCUCCUAGACCUUCUUGAAAACCACAGAUGAAAACGACAUUACCCUGAUUGAACAGUUGUCAAGCCUGGCCAUACCGAUAACGUUUGUGGCGAGGCUCAGCGUUAAUCUUUCACCGCCGUGUUGUCGACUACAUAUGCUCCGUUCAACACAUCAUUAUGUUCUAGCGAGUAUGUCUCUUUAGACGAGAUCAUAUGUAACUGCUCCGGUCUUUUAUUCAAAAUUAAUCAUGAAAUGAUAUGGAAGAUUUUACAUGGUCUUAUUGAUAAGCAUAUAAUUAGAGAAAUAAUGGGUUUUUUCCUGAGAUUAAGACGAGGACAUGAAUAUUUCAAUUGCUGAGUAGUUGUAGCUAUCAUGUAACAUUUUGGCUUGUCAUUAACUGAUAAAUAUAUGGUUAGUUGCUAUAGAUUAGGUGUUAUGAGCCGAUACAUGUUUUGUUAUCUGUUAAGAACUGUGGUUGAUGCUAAUUGAUAAAUGGUUGGUUAAAUGAUACAAAGUAUUGGUUGAUACAUGUUUGAUUAGCUGUUACAAAGCAUGUUGCCGCUUUUUUAAAAUGCUGGUAAAAUGUUAAAAAUAGUUUUCGAUAGUUGAUACAUGAUUUGUUAGAUGCUGAAAAUAGAUUAACAUGAUAAUUUAAUCAUUAUCUAUUUAACUUCUACAUUCUUGAUGUUAACAAUGAUCAUAUUAUACGUAAACUAUUAUGUUACGUCUAAAUACUCCUAACUUAUAUGAGUAUUUAUUACUAUAUAUGUAUGCUAUUGAUUCUUUAAUGAUUUACAUGUAAAUAUAGGUCGCUAACAAAACAUGCAGUAUAUGCUAAUAUAAAUUGAUAUAUUCGUUGGGAGCAUACCUACGGAUUGAGAAAUUACCCACUAACAAUUCAUAUCACACGUUACGGUAAAGUUCAGCGAAUUUGGUUAACAUACUAGUAAUUUACACCCAAAUUAUUGAACGUAUUGUGAGACUCUCUCCUUAAAACUAGCAACAGAUUGUUAAUUCUCUAAGGUUCAGUAAUUAAUCGCAAUCGAUAAUUCAUCCAAUCCAAUGAUUUUCAAUUUCAGGAGCAUAUAAGAAUAUUUCUUUUUUUUUGCAAAAUGUGAAUUCAUUUCAUAGAAAUGGCAUUAAGAUACAAAAAAGACUUGAAUCUAAAGCUGCUAAGACUUAGCAAUGAGCUAUCUAAGAACCCCCCAAAAAAGAUUCUUAAACACAAGGUUAGGCUUGAGGCAAAAUCUAUUGGUGCGCUUCAGAUUGAUCUUCCAUAAAUAUGGCUCUCUGAGAGAUUUGCGGGAGGCAUGUCUUUCUUUGGGUCAAUGAUUUAUGAGAUACACGGUGUCCAGCGUCGGCGGAAUUAUUGUGAUGGUGAAAACAAAUUGAAAAGAAGCAAAGAAGAGAGAAAAGAUCAUACGAAAAUGAAGAAUAUACUAUCACGCGUUCAAUAAAAAAAAGAUAAAAUGGUUUGUCUGUCACUUUUGCUACAAAGAAUGUGAAUUUCCAGUUAUAAUUUCCUAAUUUUAGCUAAAGUUAGGUAUAUUGAGUUAAUUGACCCAUUAAAGAAUACACAUAUAAUUUAUGUUCAUUUCAUUAGUUGAAAACCAUGGUCAAGCUAAAUACGAUUAACCUAAAUCUAUGCUAUUAAAAGUACUUUGAUGAAACUACAAUUUACCUAACAUAUAAUUUAAAAUUUAUAUCAUUGGAAUUUUUAUAGACAUUCAUUAAGAAUAACGUUCUAAAAUUAAUUUAAAAUGAAUUAGUUUAAAAAUUAACUAAAUCAUAAUACUUUUUUAUUUCCUUUUAGUUUAGUUAUAAAUAUAUAUUUUCAAUUCUGUUCAAAAUAAGAAAUAUGAAACAAACAUUAAUUUUACUGUGAUUUACAAUCAAUAUCAUUGAAAUUAUUUUAAUUCUUUGAUAUUAUUUAGUUUAAUAAUGUCAAAUUAAUUUACUCAUAAUAUAUUUUUAAAAUAUAAAUUUAAAUUAUUUUUUAUUAUAUUUAAAUAUGUUGAGGUAAAUAUAUUUUAAUAAAUAAUUCACUAAUUUCAUAAUUAGUAAUAUAAUACAAUUAUAUAUGAAUAUUAAUUCGGUUUAAAUUGAUAAAAAUUCUAUAAAUUCUAUAAUCCUAGUCUAUUUUAUUAACGAAUAAUAAAUAUUGUAAAAUAAAUAUUAAAAAAUCAGAAUUAAAUUGAUAGUUUAACCUAUGUUAUUUUUAUUAGUAUGAAAUUAAUUUCAGCUAUUCCAAUAAAUAAAUAAAAUAUCAUGUACUGUCAGAAUGCAUUAAACUUGUCAACUAAAUAUGAAAAUAUAAUUGUUAACAUAUCUUAAAUUUUUACAUCUAUAGUUAUAGUAGGUGAUUUUUAUGUGCUCAUAGACAUGUUUAAAUAUUAACAAAGUAAAUAUCAAAAAAAUUGGAUAAUAUUUCAUUUUUAAUCUUUUCAUAAUUUAUAUAUAUGGUUUGUUAUAACAAUAUUAUGUUACUUUAAUUAGACAUGUGAUUUUGGAUAUAUAAUGUCUAUUUAGUUUGAUUAUUACUUGAGUAUAUUGAAUUGCAUUUACUUCUAUAAAUUCAACCAUGAUAAUUUUCUUAUUAAUAGAUUAAAAUUUUAAUUAAUAUUUUUAUUAGCAUUUAGUUUAGUUGGUGUCUUCGAUUUAAAUAUAUUUUAGUAAUUAUUUUGAGAAUCAAACGAAAUGAAAGACAAACUAAGGAUGAAUAUAAGGAUGAUUUUCCUUCAAGUCAAGCCAUUAAGUAUUUGGGAUUAGCUAUGAUUUUCUUCUUUACAAGAAGUGUGCGAAACCUUAAGUUUCAAGCAAUUGACUUGCUGAGGCAUUGAUCCGAAUAAGCGAGAAACUGUGAAAUUGAAUUGGGUUUAAUAUUCUUGUUAUGCUUUGCAGUACUUAGUUAUAGUUUCCUUGCCAGAAACUCUCAAAUUUCUAUGGUUACAGCCACUAUUUGAGUCUGAGGCAUUCUCUUCACUAACAGAUUCAAAGUCGCUGGAUAUAACUCAAAUACAUUGAAUGUUUUUCGUUUCUUAUCUAUCAAGACAUUAAUUUUAUAUAUAUAAUGG